GGGUUGUGAGGUUAAGCGACUAAGCGUACACGGUGGAUGCCCUGGCAGUCAGAGGCGAUGAAGGACGUGCUAAUCUGCGAAAAGCGUCGGUAAGGUGAUAUGAACCGUUAUAACCGGCGAUGUCCGAAUGGGGAAACCCAGUGUGAUUCGUCACACUAUCGUUAACUGAAUACAUAGGUUAACGAGGCGAACCGGGGGAACUGAAACAUCUAAGUACCCCGAGGAAAAGAAAUCAACCGAGAUUCCCCCAGUAGCGGCGAGCGAACGGGGAGCAGCCCAGAGUCUGAAUCAGCUUGUGUGUUAGUGGAACGGUCUGGAAAGUCCGACGGUACAGGGUGAUAGUCCCGUACACCAAAAUGCACAGGUUGUGAACUCGAAGAGUAGGGCGGGACACGUGGUAUCCUGUCUGAAUAUGGGGGGACCAUCCUCCAAGGCUAAAUACUCCUGACUGACCGAUAGUGAACCAGUACCGUGAGGGAAAGGCGAAAAGAACCCCGGCGAGGGGAGUGAAAAAGAACCUGAAACCGUGUACGUACAAGCAGUGGGAGCACCUUCGGGUGUGACUGCGUACCUUUUGUAUAAUGGGUCAGCGACUUAUAUUCUGUAGCAAGGUUAACCGUAUAGGGGAGCCGCAGGGAAACCGAGUCUUAACUGGGCGUUAAGUUGCAGGGUAUAGACCCGAAACCCGGUGAUCUAGCCAUGGGCAGGUUGAAGGUUGGGUAACACUAACUGGAGGACCGAACCGACUAAUGUUGAAAAAUUAGCGGAUGACUUGUGGCUGGGGGUGAAAGGCCAAUCAAACCGGGAGAUAGCUGGUUCUCCCCGAAAGCUAUUUAGGUAGCGCCUCGUGAACUCAUCUUCGGGGGUAGAGCACUGUUUCGGCUAGGGGGUCAUCCCGACUUACCAACCCGAUGCAAACUACGAAUACCGAAGAAUGUUAUCACGGGAGACACACGGCGGGUGCUAACGUCCGUCGUGAAGAGGGAAACAACCCAGACCGCCAGCUAAGGUCCCAAAGUCAUGGUUAAGUGGGAAACGAUGUGGGAAGGCACAGACAGCCAGGAUGUUGGCUUAGAAGCAGCCAUCAUUUAAAGAAAGCGUAAUAGCUCACUGGUCGAGUCGGCCUGCGCGGAAGAUGUAACGGGGCUAAACCAUGCACCGAAGCUGCGGCAGCGACACUAUGUGUUGUUGGGUAGGGGAGCGUUCUGUAAGCCUGCGAAGGUGACCUGUGAGGGUUGCUGGAGGUAUCAGAAGUGCGAAUGCUGACAUAAGUAACGAUAAAGCGGGUGAAAAGCCCGCUCGCCGGAAGACCAAGGGUUCCUGUCCAACGUUAAUCGGGGCAGGGUGAGUCGACCCCUAAGGCGAGGCCGAAAGGCGUAGUCGAUGGGAAACAGGUUAAUAUUCCUGUACUUGGUGUUACUGCGAAGGGGGGACGGAGAAGGCUAUGUUAGCCGGGCGACGGUUGUCCCGGUUUAAGCAUGUAGGCUGGUUGUCCAGGCAAAUCCGGAUAAUCAAGGCUGAGGUGUGAUGACGAGGCACUACGGUGCUGAAGUAACAAAUGCCCUGCUUCCAGGAAAAGCCUCUAAGCAUCAGGUAACAUCAAAUCGUACCCCAAACCGACACAGGUGGUCAGGUAGAGAAUACCAAGGCGCUUGAGAGAACUCGGGUGAAGGAACUAGGCAAAAUGGUGCCGUAACUUCGGGAGAAGGCACGCUGGUGUGUAGGUGAAGUCCCUGCGGAUGGAGCUGAGACCAGUCGAAGAUACCAGCUGGCUGCAACUGUUUAUUAAAAACACAGCACUGUGCAAACACGAAAGUGGACGUAUACGGUGUGACGCCUGCCCGGUGCCGGAAGGUUAAUUGAUGGGGUUAUCCGUAAGGAGAAGCUCUUGAUCGAAGCCCCGGUAAACGGCGGCCGUAACUAUAACGGUCCUAAGGUAGCGAAAUUCCUUGUCGGGUAAGUUCCGACCUGCACGAAUGGCGUAAUGAUGGCCAGGCUGUCUCCACCCGAGACUCAGUGAAAUUGAACUCGCUGUGAAGAUGCAGUGUACCCGCGGCAAGACGGAAAGACCCCGUGAACCUUUACUAUAGCUUGACACUGAACAUUGAGCCUUGAUGUGUAGGAUAGGUGGGAGGCUUUGAAGCGUGGACGCCAGUCUGCGUGGAGCCAACCUUGAAAUACCACCCUUUAAUGUUUGAUGUUCUAACGUUGGCCCCUUACCGGGGUUGCGGACAGUGUCUGGUGGGUAGUUUGACUGGGGCGGUCUCCUCCCAAAGCGUAACGGAGGAGCACGAAGGUUAGCUAAUCCUGGUCGGACAUCAGGAGGUUAGUGCAAUGGCAUAAGCUAGCUUGACUGCGAGCGUGACGGCGCGAGCAGGUGCGAAAGCAGGUCAUAGUGAUCCGGUGGUUCUGAAUGGAAGGGCCAUCGCUCAACGGAUAAAAGGUACUCCGGGGAUAACAGGCUGAUACCGCCCAAGAGUUCAUAUCGACGGCGGUGUUUGGCACCUCGAUGUCGGCUCAUCACAUCCUGGGGCUGAAGUAGGUCCCAAGGGUAUGGCUGUUCGCCAUUUAAAGUGGUACGCGAGCUGGGUUUAGAACGUCGUGAGACAGUUCGGUCCCUAUCUGCCGUGGGCGCUGGAGAAUUGAGGGGGGCUGCUCCUAGUACGAGAGGACCGGAGUGGACGCAUCACUGGUGUUCGGGUUGUCAUGCCAAUGGCACUGCCCGGUAGCUAAAUGCGGAAGAGAUAAGUGCUGAAAGCAUCUAAGCACGAAACUUGCCCCGAGAUGAGUUCUCCCUGAGACUUUAAGUCUCCUGAAGGAACGUU
rnacentral:rRNA from 1 species